rnacentral:rRNA from 1 species
UACGGAGGAUCCGAGCGUUAUCCGGAUUUAUUGGGCCUAAAGCAUCCGUAGCCGGUUCUACAAGUCUUCCGUUAAAUCCACCUGCUUAACAGAUGGGCUGCGGAAGAUACUAUGGAGCUAGGAGGCGGGAGAGGCAAGCGGUACUCGAUGGGUAGGGGUAAAAUCCGUUGAUCCAUUGAAGACCACCAGUGGCGAAGGCGGCUUGCCAGAACGCGCUCGACGGUGAGGGAUGAAAGCUGGGGGAGCAAACCGG